rnacentral:rRNA from 1 species
GGUGGACAUGUGGUUUAUUCGAUGCAACGCGAAGAACCUUACCUACUCUUGACAUCCAGAGAACUUUCCAGAGAUGCUUUGGUGCCUUCGGGAACUCUGAGACAGGUGCUGCAUGGCUGUCGUCAGCUCGUGUUGUGAAAUGUUGGGUUAAGUCCCGCAACGAGCGCAACCCUUAUCCUUUGUUGCCAGCGGUCCGGCCGGGAACUCAAAGGAGACUGCCAGUGAUAAACUGGAGGAAGGUGGGGAUGACGUCAAGUCAUCAUGGCCCUUACGAGUAGGGCUACACACGUGCUACAAUGGCGCAUACAAAGAGAAGCGACCUCGCGAGAGCAAGCGGACCUCAUAAAGUGCGUCGUAGUCCGGAUUGGAGUCUGCAACUCGACUCCAUGAAGUCGGAAUCGCUAGUAAUCGUGGAUCAGAAUGCCACGGUGAAUACGUUCCCGGGCCUUGUACCACCCGGCCGUA